UACGGGGGGAGCAAGCGUUGUUCGGAUUUACUGGGCGUAAAGGGCGCGUAGGCGGCCAGCACAAGUCAGUUGUGAAAUCUCCGAGCUUAACUCGGAAAGGUCAACUGAUACUGUGCGGCUAGAGUGCAGAAGGGGCAACUGGAAUUCUUGGUGUAGCGGUGAAAUGCGUAGAUAUCAAGAGGAACACCUGCGGCGAAGGCGGGUUGCUGGGCUGACACUGACGCUGAAGCGCGAAGCCAGGGGAGCGAACGGG
rnacentral:rRNA from 1 species